GCAUAGGCAAAAUUGAUGAUCAGUGGAUUUGUUAUACUAGAAUCAUGCAGAGAAUCCUUGCUGCUGCAAGAACACGAGGGAGUUCCACUUUUCUCUCAAUACACCCUGCUGAGAAUAGUGAACAGCCCAUGAUUGUACCAUUUUAGGCUAUUAUACUUGAAUUGAACUGCAGUGUAAAAGAAAAUUGCCUACAUACUUGACAUGUCUAUAUAAACAAAUUCACUGUCAUCAGCCAUUGUUAUAACUCAAAAGCUUAUUCCCAGCAGUACAUCUUACUGGAAGCUGGUUUGAGUGUUUUCUUUUGUAACGGAACUAUAAUUGUAAGUUUAAUUUCAGUUGUGCUUUAUAACAAACU